rnacentral:sRNA from 1 species
GUAGUCGAAAAGAUGCAUUAUAGCGGU